GUUAAAUUUGAGAUACCACUUAGACAUCAAAGAGGGAAGAUACUGAGUAAGCAGCUGGAUAAUAUACAUAUGCAGAGGAGUGAGCCCUAAAUGGAAUGGCUUCAAUAAAGGAUGAAUGGAGAAAUAGUAAGAGAUAGAAAAUAUGAACAAUUUUUUCUAAGGACUUUUGCUAAAGGAGAGAAAAGGAUUGAAAGCUGGAGAAGAGAAGUCAUGAAAAUGACCAUCCAAAAAAAGAGGGAAAAUUAAUAAUGCCUGGGAGACAAAAGAACCACUGAAGCAGUGUUCUUGAAUAGGUCUUAGUUGGUAAAUUAGAGUUCAUCCACUGGGCAAGGAAGAGGCUGAGUUCAUGGGGAGGCAAGAGGGUCUAUGUGGUGGUGGAAACCUGUGCAAAUACCCUUUUAGUUGUCUCUAUUUUCCAAGUGAAAUAGAACCCAAGAUUAUUGAGAAUGACUAUAGGAAAGGUGCUGCAUGCUUCAAGAGCACAAAGGAGUAAUAUAUAGGAAUGUGCAGAGAGAAUGGACUAGAAAUAAAGGGUAAUUGUCAGGCAGUUAGAAGUUAGUGCCCAAGAAAUUAACAUGAGACCAGCUAGCAUGGCUGUGUUUUCUCCAUGAGUAGAUAGUUGGAUAACCAAUGGGUUAGCCACAGAGCACGAUGAAGCACAAUAGGAACGAGGGCAUUGAGGGUGUAUGUAGGAGUAAUUAUAAUGAUAUAACUGUAAUGGUUAGAAUUAAAGCUGGGUAAGAAGGGAAUAAGUACAUGAGAGGGAUAAGAGGGAAAAGAUGGUUGGAUCAAUGGAUUAUAGGUCUGCUGGGGCAACUACAUUGUUA